GGUUUGAUCAUGGCUCAGAUUGAACGCUGGCGGGAUGCUUUACACAUGCAAGUCGAACGGCAGCACGGACUUCGGUCUGUGGCGAGUGGCGAACGGGUGAGUAAUGUAUCGGAACGUGCCCAGUAGCGGGGAUAAUCCAGUGAAAGCUAACACCGCAUACCCUUCGGGGAAAGCGGGGGACCUUCGGGCCUCGCACUAGAGCGGCCGAUAUCGGAUUAGCUAGGUUGGUGGGGUAACGGCUCACUAGCGCGACGAUCCGUAGCUGGUUUGAGAGGACGACCAGCCACACUGGGACUGGAGACACGGCCCAGACUCCCUACGAGGCAGCAGGGGGAAUUUUGGACAAUGGGGAAACCCCUGAUCCAGCCAUCCGCGUGUACAGAAGGCUUUCGCUUAAAGACUUUUGGCAGGAAAGAAACGGCACGGGAUAAUACCCCGUGCAACUAACGGUACCCGGUGAGAAUAAGCACCGGCUAACUACGCCAGCAGCCGCAAUAUUGUAGGGUGCAAGCGUUAAUCGGAAUUACUGGGCGCAAAGCGCGCAGGCGGUUCGGAAAGAAAGAUGUGAAAUCCCAGAGCUUAACUUUGGAACUGCAUUUUUAACUACCGAGCUAGAGUGUGUCAGAGGGAGGUGGAAUUCCCGUGUGUAGCAGUGAAAUGCGUAGAUAUGCGGAGGAACACCGAUGGUGAAGGCAGCCUCCUGGGAUAACGACGCUCAUACCGAAAGUGUGGGGAUAAACAGAUUAGAUACCCCUGUAGUCCAUAAUGCCCUAAACGAUGUCAACUAGCUGUUGGGGCCCCUGGGCCUUUGUAGUGUAGCUAACGCGUGAAGUUGACCGCCUGGGGAGUACGGUCGCAAGAUUAAAACUCAAAGGAAUUGAUUUGGGACCCGCACAAGCGGUGGAUGAUGGGAUUUAUCUGAUGCAACGCGAAACCCACUACCCUUGACAUGUCUGGAAUCCCGAAGAGAUCGGGAGUGCUCGCAAGAGAACCGGAACACAGGUGUUGCAUGGCUGUCGCCGGUUUCGGGGUCGGAUAUUGUUAAGUCCCAAACGAGCGCAACCCUUGUCAUUAGUUACACAAAGGGCACUCUAUCGAGACUGCCGGUGACAAAACCGAGGAAGGUGGGACACGUCAAGUCCUCAUGGUCUCUUAUGGGUAGGCUUGACGUCAUACAAUGGUCGGGACAGAGGGUCGCCAACCCGCGAGGGGGAGCCAAUCCUGAAACCUGAUCGUAGUCCGACUGCUCCGCAACCGACUGCGUGAAGUCGGAAUCGCUAGUAAUCGCGGAUCAGUAUACCGUGAAUACGCUCCUGGCCUUGUACACACCGCCCAUUGCGACCAUGGAGUGGGUUUUACCAGAAGUAGUUAGCCUAACCGGGUGAGGGCGAGAUUACCACGGUAGGAUUCAUGACUGGGGUGAAGCCGUAACAAGGUAG
rnacentral:rRNA from 1 species